rnacentral:rRNA from 1 species
CUACGGGUGGCAGCAGUGGGGAAUUUUGCGCAAUGGGGGCAACCCUGACGCAGCAAUACCGCGUGAGUGAAGAAGGCCUUUGGGUCGUAAAGCUCUUUCUAAGGGAAGAUAGUGACGGUACCUUAGGAAUAAGCACCGGCUAACUCUGUGCCAGCAGCCGCGGUAAUACGGAGGGUGCGAGCGUUGUUCGGAUUUACUGGGCGUAAAGGGCACGUAGGCGGCCUAGCAAGUUAAGGGUGAAAUCCCGGGGCUCAACUCCGGAACUGCUCUUAAAACUGCUAAGCUAGAGAUAGUCAGAGGCGGGUGGAAUUCCAGGUGUAGAGGUGAAAUUCGUAGAUAUCUGGAGGAACACCGGUGGCGAAGGCGGCCCGCUGGGGCUAUUCUGACGCUGAGGUGCGAAAGCGUGGGGAGCGAACGGGAUUAGAUACCCGCGUAGUC